UGGGGAAUAUUGGACAAUGGGGGAAACCCUGAUCCAGCAAUGCCGCGUGAGUGAAGAAGGCCUUAGGGUUGUAAAGCUCUUUCGCCCGCGAAGAUAAUGACGGUAGCGGGAGAAGAAGCCCCGGCUAACUCCGUGCCAGCAGCCGCGGUAAUACGGAGGGGGCUAGCGUUGUUCGGAAUUACUGGGCGUAAAGCGUACGUAGGCGGAUGCGCAAGUUGGGGGUGAAAUCCCGGGGCUUAACCUCGGAAUUGCCCUCAAAACUGCACGUCUUGAGACCGAGAGAGAUAAGGGGAAUUCCUAGUGUAGAGGUGAAAUUCGUAGAUAUUAGGAAGAACACCAGUGGCGAAGGCGCCUUACUGACUCGGUACUGACGCUGAGGUACGAAAGCGUGGGGAGCAAACA
rnacentral:rRNA from 1 species